UACAGAGGUCUCAAGCGUUGUUCGGAUUCAUUGGGCGUAAAGGGUGCGUAGGCGGCGGGGCAAGUCAGGUGUGAAAUCCCGGAGCUCAACUCCGGAACUGCACUUGAUACUGCCUUGCUAGAGUACUGGAGAGGAGACUGGAAUUUACGGUGUAGCAGUGAAAUGCGUAGAUAUCGUAAGGAAGACCAGUGGCGAAGGCGAGUCUCUGGACAGUUACUGACGCUGAGGCACGAAGGCCAGGGGAGCAAACAGG
rnacentral:rRNA from 1 species